GUUGAUUAUUCAGUUUAAAUUUGUUUUUGGGAUGAUUUCGGUUGUGUUCAAUUGGAAAGAGAUCUAAAAGUGUUCAGAAUGCUAAAACUCACGAUUAAUAUUCGCUUGAAACUUGAAAAAACUCAAAUAAAUCGGGGAAUCUCCGAAUCCCACUCGAAAACCUUUAAGUAUCUGGAUUUUCGGUUUCUGAGAAAUAUGGAUCUAGUGAAGGGACAGAUUACCUUUAUCUGGCCACCCGAGGGAAUUAAAAGGGUUGAAACUGUCUGAAAAGACCUCUUUCGAUAUUAACUGGACAGUUAAAAAAAAAAAAAAAAAGUAAUCUUCAGAAUUGAAGUUGUUUGUAAAUUUGUGGUAUAAAGUUUUAGAGAAAGUAUUUUAUAGGUUUUUGUGUUUCUCAAAUCAUUGUUGUUCCCAUCAAUAUCAGUACUGUUUGCAGUAACGCAAAAUUGGUAAAUUUCAGACUCUUGUUACAACGAUGGUUGUAACAAGUUGCUAAAGGAUGCUCCAAUGAGCCGAACAAAAAUGAGCCAAGGAGUUUCCACAGGUUUCCUUUUAAACGCCCAGAUAUUUUGGAACUUUGGAUUACUGCUGUAGGAAGGGAAAAAUUGGUAUCCCUCAAAGUAUAGUAGAAUGAAGAUUACCUUCAUAAUCCAAGUUAUACAAGAAAAAUAUUGAAACUUGAUGCUGUACCAAGUGUAUUCAAUAAUAUCCCAAGACAUUCAAGGAUCAUGGAAUACUUACAGUUCCAUCACUCUUCAUAUACAACUCACUGUGUUAUGUGCAUCAGAACUGGAAGAACUUUCCGACCAAUUCUAUAAAUCAUGCAUAUGAAACAAGAAAUAAAGACUCCUUGCAGAUUCCAGUGCACCAUCUGAAGCGCAUACACCAGGGUAUGGACUUCUGCGGCCCCAAACUAUAUAAUAAAUUUCCUUCUGAGUUUCAUGACAAGUCCUAGAUGAACUUUAGGAGAGAAGUGAAAAGGUUGCUUUUAAAUGAAACUAUAUAUUCUAUAGAAGUUCUUAUCGAGAAAGAAUAUGUGAUGAGAUUUGUUUUUUAUUUUUAUUGUGUUUGUAUGCAUGUUGUUACCACUGUGAUAUUUUAUAUUUGUUUAUUACUGUCGGCACCAUUUGUAAUAUUAAUUGCAAACGAAGAUCCCUCUAACCUAAUCUAAUCCGAUGAGAAGCAGAGCACAUGUAAGUUUUCGAGUGAAUUUAAAUUAUUUGAAAUCAAUAAUUUUCUUUUUCAUUGUAGACUAUUACUGAAGAUAUAUGUAAACUAUUUUAUAUAUUGUAUAUAAUAAAAAUAUAGAAAGAA